AUUGAACGCUGGCGGCAGGCCUAACACAUGCAAGUCGAACGAGUGGCGGACGGGUGAGUAAUGUCUGGGAAACUGCCUGAUGGAGGGGGAUAACUACUGGAAACGGUAGCUAAUACCCCAUACCAUCAGAUGGGCCCAGAUGGGAUUAGCUUUUUGGUGGGGUAAGGGCGCACAAAGGCGACGAUCCCUAGCUGGUCUGAGAGGAUGACCGGCCACACUGGAACUGAGACACGGUCCAGACUCCUACGGGAGGCAGCAGUGGGGAAUAUUGCACAAUGGGCGAAAGCCUGAUGCAGCCAUGCCGCGUGUAUGAAGAAGGCCUUCGGGUUGUAAAGUACUUUCAGCGGGGAGGCGUUACCCGCAGAAGAAGCACCGGCUAACUACGUGCCAGCAGCCGCGGUAAUUC
rnacentral:rRNA from 1 species